rnacentral:rRNA from 1 species
GCGGUGAAUGCGUUCCCGGGUCUUGUACACACCGCCCGUCACACCACGGGAGUUGGAGACGCCCGAAGCCGAUUAUCUAACCUUUUGGAAGAAGUCGUCGAAGGUGGAAUCAAUAACUGGGGUGAAGUCGUAACAAGGUAGCCGUAUCGGAAGGUGCGGCUGGAUCACCUCCUUUCUAAGGAGAAUU